AAUCCAUGGUGAGGGCAUUGCAUGGUAUAACCUUUAAAUCUUUCCCAAACCUCACAAAAGGAUUCAUGGUUGUUCUGAAUGAAACUUGAGAAUUGAUUUCUUAACCU
rfam:Eutrema salsugineum unplaced genomic scaffold scaffold_6, whole genome shotgun sequence.